UCAACAUUUGCCUUGGGUUAGUAUUGCCUUAACAAAUUUUAGCUGAUGUUGAUCUUGAGCAUCUUACUUCAUUAUUUCAAAUUAUUUUAAGAGUUAAAAGAAGGGUUGGCUUCUUAUAAAGAAGGGCAUUUAUAUUGACAUUAAACCUCAACUUUCAAAAUGUUUAUUUAAAACUAAAACAUAAAACUAUAAUUUAUGCAUACGAGGCACCAUUUUUAACUAAUUUCUUUUGAUAUGUUAGUUUUCAAUAGGGAAGUUCUGACUCUUGUACACUAGAAGCAUAGAAGAAUGAGCCAAAAGAAUUGAGAAUUAAAGAGAUUACUCUUAACAUUGGAGUAUAUAGUGUGAUGAAACUUGAGUUCUCUUAGAUGCUUUAUGUUGGUGAGGGAGGAGUGUUUCUGCUCCAUUCAAAGAAAAGAAAAUAUAACUUGGGUUCUCAUUGAGACAAACCAAACUACAUGAGGUUUUUGGAGAAAAUGAUCCACAAUAUUUUCAAUUUAAUAACAUCAUUGAGAUUCUAAAUUUAUGCUCCAGGUAAACAAGGAAAAGUCAUGAAUGCAUGAGCAGAUGAAAUUGUCCCCGUUGGUGUGUGAAUGCAGUAAAUAUGAAGAAACCUAUGUUUAUCAUCCUAUUUUCUUUUGGUUUAGCGUUUUUAUUUUUUUCCUGCCUCUGAGUAGUGGUGAAUAUCAUACAGGGCUCCAAUAGGCCAA
rnacentral:misc_RNA from 1 species